rnacentral:misc_RNA from 1 species
UUAGACGGAAGCGGAGGUUUGGUUAGCAAUUCGGGUCCGUACUUGUCAAGAAGAAAAUGACGUGCACUUCGGAUUUUAGUGGCUGUGCCUCGUGAUACGAGACUGGUUAAUCAGAGAACUAAGUUUCCUAAUUCGUGAUAUUAUUUGAUUUUGAAGAAGACAAAUAUAUUCUUUAUCUUUUUCUCUCGUGCCUUCGAGUGAACUGUGAAUCGUUUGUGUCGCUCCCUCUUUUCCUCUUUCUCUCUCUCUUUCUGUCCCUUUCCUUCUCUUUCUUUCUUCUCGUAAUCAAGUUCUGUCUUUUUUCCUCCUGUUCCUUGCUAACCUAAAUACUCGUAAAACCGUAACGUGAUUUUGUCGUGACACGUCGUCAACGAAUACCUGAACUAGUUUAUGGUUAUCAGUUUUUUUUCUUCAUAUCCAAAAAUCCACUCGAAACGGGGAAGAAAAUUAAAGAGCAAAUUAAGCCAUUUAAACUGCUUCGUAAUCGAAGACUUCCUUCUCCCGAGGUCUUUCUAACCUGGACUGAAGGCGUCUAGGCACCGUUGUGAGAAUUUGUUUGCGUGAAUGAACGGUAUAAACAUUGUGAGGAUACAAUAAGCAGUGUUGAAAUAAAGACGCAAUCAUGGAGGACGGCCAUGCGAAGACCGUUGAGGAGGUAUUAAAUUAUUUCAAUGUGGACGGAGAGAAAGGAUUGUCUCUAGACCAAGUAAAGAGGAAUCAGGAGAAGUAUGGUCUCAACGAAUUGCCAGCCGAGGAGGGUAAAUCCAUCUGGCAACUUGUAUUGGAACAAUUCGACGACCUCCUAGUUAAGAUUCUAUUAUUAGCCGCUAUUAUCUCUUUUGUAUUAGCUUUAUUUGAGGAGCACGAGGAUGCGUUCACGGCCUUCGUCGAACCUUUCGUCAUUUUGCUCAUCCUUAUCGCCAAUGCCGUGGUCGGUGUCUGGCAAGAACGUAACGCCGAAUCGGCGAUCGAAGCGUUGAAAGAGUACGAACCCGAAAUGGGUAAAGUUGUUCGAGGUGAUAAGGCUGGUGUACAAAGGAUUCGAGCGAAAGAGAUCGUUCCCGGAGAUAUUGUGGAGGUGUCUGUCGGUGAUAAGAUCCCAGCCGAUAUUCGUCUUAGUAAAAUCUUCUCGACCACUCUCAGGAUCGAUCAAUCUAUCCUGACCGGUGAAUCUGUUUCGGUUAUUAAACAUACGGAUCCUGUUCCCGAUCCACGUGCCGUCAAUCAGGAUAAGAAAAACAUUUUGUUCUCUGGUACCAAUGUAGCAGCUGGUAAGGCACGUGGCGUUGUUAUUGGAACUGGUUUAAAUACCGCGAUUGGUAAAAUCCGUACCGAAAUGUCCGAGACCGAGGAGAUCAAGACACCCCUCCAACAAAAGCUCGACGAAUUUGGUGAACAAUUAUCCAAGGUUAUUUCCGUCAUCUGUGUUGCUGUAUGGGCUAUCAACAUCGGUCACUUCAAUGAUCCUGCUCACGGUGGAUCCUGGAUCAAGGGUGCUAUUUACUACUUCAAGAUCGCUGUCGCUCUUGCCGUCGCUGCCAUUCCUGAAGGUUUACCAGCUGUUAUCACGACUUGUUUAGCUUUGGGUACUAGGCGUAUGGCUAAGAAGAAUGCUAUUGUACGAUCCUUGCCUUCUGUCGAAACUCUUGGUUGUACUUCUGUUAUUUGCUCUGACAAGACUGGAACGUUGACUACGAAUCAGAUGUCCGUUAGCCGAAUGUUUAUUUUUGAUAAAAUUGAGGGCAACGAUAGCUCAUUCCAUGAGUUUGAGAUUACUGGAUCGACUUACGAACCGAUCGGUGAGAUCUUCUUGAGAGGACAAAAGAUCAAAGGACAGGAUUUCGAGACGCUUCACGAGAUUGGUACGAUCUGUAUCAUGUGUAACGAUUCGGCUAUUGACUUUAACGAGUUCAAACAAGCUUUCGAAAAAGUUGGCGAAGCCACGGAAACGGCUCUAAUCGUGUUGGCUGAAAAGGUGAAUCCUUAUGGUGUGUCGAAGAGUGGACUCGAUCGUCGUAAUUCAGCUAUCGUUGUCAGGCAAGAUAUUGAAACGAAAUGGAAGAAGGAAUUCACAUUGGAGUUCUCUCGAGAUCGUAAAUCCAUGUCCUCGUAUUGCGUACCUCUGAAACCUAGCAAGCUUGGAACUGGACCGAAACUUUUUGUUAAGGGUGCACCCGAAGGCGUAUUGGAUAGGUGCACGCAUGCGCGUGUUGGUAGCCAGAAGGUUCCUCUUACAUCGACUUUGAAAAAUCGUAUUUUGGAUUUGACGAGGCAAUACGGAACCGGACGAGACACUUUGCGUUGUCUUGCUUUGGCAACCGCUGAUCAUCCGAUGAAACCCGAUGACAUGGAUCUGGGUGACUCCACUAAGUUCUAUACUUACGAAAAAGAUCUCACGUUCGUUGGUGUCGUUGGUAUGUUGGAUCCACCUCGAAAAGAAGUCUUCGAUUCUAUUGUCAGGUGUCGUGCUGCUGGUAUUCGUGUUAUUGUUAUUACUGGUGAUAACAAAGCCACCGCUGAAGCUAUUUGCCGACGAAUUGGUGUUUUCUCUGAAGAUGAGGAUACGACUGGAAAAUCUUACUCUGGACGUGAAUUCGAUGAUCUCUCACCAGCCGAACAGAAAUCAGCUUGUGCGAGAGCUAGGCUGUUUUCUCGCGUAGAACCAGCUCAUAAAUCGAAAAUCGUUGAGUACUUACAAAGUAUGAACGAGAUCUCGGCUAUGACUGGUGAUGGUGUGAAUGAUGCCCCUGCUUUAAAGAAGGCUGAAAUUGGUAUCGCUAUGGGUUCUGGAACGGCUGUAGCAAAAUCGGCCUCAGAGAUGGUAUUGGCAGAUGAUAAUUUCUCUUCUAUUGUUGCUGCCGUUGAAGAAGGUCGUGCUAUUUAUAAUAACAUGAAACAAUUCAUUCGUUAUCUUAUCUCUUCUAAUAUUGGUGAAGUCGUAAGUAUAUUCUUGACGGCCGCUCUUGGUCUUCCCGAAGCUUUAAUUCCAGUUCAGCUUCUCUGGGUUAACUUGGUCACUGACGGUCUUCCAGCCACUGCCCUUGGUUUUAAUCCACCUGACUUGGAUAUCAUGGACAAGCCUCCUCGCAAAGCCGAUGAAUCUCUUAUUUCUGGUUGGCUAUUCUUCCGAUACUUGGCUAUUGGUGGAUAUGUAGGUGCUGCUACUGUAGGAUCAGCUGCGUGGUGGUUCUUGUAUAGUCCGAAUGGACCACAAAUGAAUUAUUAUCAAUUGACUCAUCACUUGGCUUGUAUCGGUGGUGGAGACGAGUUCAAAGGCGUUAAUUGCAAAAUCUUUGCUGAUCCUCAUCCAAUGACCAUGGCUCUUUCUGUACUUGUAACCAUUGAAAUGUUGAACGCUAUGAAUAGUUUAUCGGAGAAUCAAUCACUCAUCUCGAUGCCGCCUUGGUCCAACAUGUGGCUCAUCGCCUCCAUGGCUCUUUCCUUCACACUCCACUUUGUCAUUCUUUACGUCGACGUCCUUUCGUCUGUAUUCCAAGUGACUCCCUUAACGGGUGAAGAAUGGGUUACCGUUAUGAAGUUUUCCAUUCCAGUGGUACUUCUAGACGAAACCCUGAAGUUUGUUGCCAGAAAGAUCACAGAUGGUGAGAAUCCAAUUUACACCGUGCAUUGGAUCGUUCUAAUGUGGGCUGUGUUCUUUGGACUAUUGCAUAUUUGUCCCAUAUAGAACAUCCGUGAACAAAGAUUAGUGUAGCGAACAAUGUUUUUCCUAUGGAAAGCAUUUAUAACUAAGUUCUUGGACUUGCAAAUGCAUUUAACUAAAGUUCUUCCCUCCAAGGUGCGGGAAGGUCAAGAUAAGUUAUUAACAAAGUGCGUUUAAGUGAGAUUUUAACGAGUUUGACUGUUGUGCAUGGUGUUAGUACAACCAUUAAACAAAAAAAAAAAAGAAAAAAAAAAAGAAAAAAAAAACAGAAAAAGAUACGUCGCCAAGGCUCACCAGUCCGCAUUACAUAUAUACACAUACACAGACCGUACCUUUAAAUAUGUCCCAUGAUCACGUGGGCUUGAGUGGCAGCUCGAGUGAUUAAGAGACUCACAUCUUUGCCUGGCACCAACAGUGACGGUGCGGAAAUAAAGCUCGAGAUGCGUCGGAGGUACGAACGAGUAAAGAACAAUCAUAAAAAAGAAAAAUAUUAAAAAAGAUACGGCGAGCGGCAUCCUCGAAUAGCGGACGCGAGAAAUCUUCGAAAGACGGCAAUUCAAACACACAUCUACAACACACAUAUACAUACGUUCAUCUAUACAAAAAAAAAUAUAUAUAUACACCCACCCACACUCACACACACACACACACAUAUAUAUAUUAUAUAUAUGAAGAUAAGGAAUAUAGUCGAGAAAAACGAGGUAAGCCGUUCGAAAAUGAUGAGAAAAUCCGAAAAUGAAAGGAACAUAUAAGAAGAUACGCAUAUACCAUUGUACAUCCAUACAUAUACACUAAAAAGAGAACAUAUGUCCGUCAACAUCUCGGAGAGAGAUACUAGAAAGAAGAAACAUAAGGAUGAUUGUGUGUAUUACACGCAGCAGAGAGACAGUCACGUAUAAACAGGCAAUGAUGAGUAUACCGUCAAAGUUAUGAUCAUCAGAAAGCAGCCAAGGACAUCGAACGUAUGUGUGUGUGUGUGUGUGUGUGUGUGUGUGUACGUUAUUAACGUACAUACGAGAUCUCUUCGUUAUAUAGAACCGAACAAAAA